UCUCUUUGCAGCUUCCUCUUCAUCGCUGUCAUCUUCGUAUUUCCUGCCAAAUGAAAACAUUUUUACUGAAUGACCCGUUUCAAAUGCAACACCGAGCUGACACGGUAAACCCCAGACGUCUGCGGACUGUGCGGGCGGGUCAGCGUCGCUCAAAGUCUAACAGGAAGUCAGAACCGAAGGAGCAUCAGACUUUGAAUGCCCAUAAGCAACUACUUUGUACAACUACAGGACACCUAGCCAUACAGGUAAUAUUACAAAAAACUGUUCACAUCAUUUGUAAUAAAAAAUAAAUAAAUAUCAAUCUACAUCCAUGAGUUAAUAAGGAGUUGAAAAACAACCUUUUUGUUUUUUCAAGAGCAUGGCACAUUCUGACUGCUAAUCUGGACCCCCACCCCCAGCUGACACAACGUGCCACAACAUGAGAUGGAUGUGGAGAAGUGAAGAUGAUCAAAGAGUAUGACGUAUCUUAUGAUCAUCAUGACCAUAUUUCAAUGAUUGACUAGCCUUGUAAUAUGGUUUUUACUUGUGAUAUUUUAUUGAAGGUAAAAUAUUCUUUACACGUGAUUUUUUUUUAAAGAGAAAAUAGGUGCAUAUUUUUUCUAUUAGGUUUUUAACUGAUUUCUUAUAUGCAUUUUAUUCUCUUACCAUUUUUGAAUUAUCUUUAGCUGUUGAUGAAUUAUUACUGUUAUUUUAGGAGCAUAAUUUUAUUUCAGUUAUACCUUUUUUCCCCCCUGAUUUGAUCCCUCAUUUUUUUUUUUGGCUCCAGCGUUUUUCCUCCCAUCGGGACCUUUCACACUGGGAAUAGUUCUGGUUUACCAUCACAGUUGCUGUCCCAUUGACAGCUCCAGCCUGGUGACUGGAGGG